rnacentral:rRNA from 1 species
AUUGAACGCUGGCGGCGUGCCUAACACAUGCAAGUCGAGCGGUAACAGGUGUAGCAAUACAUGCUGACGAGCGGCGAACGGGUGAGUAAUGCUUCGGAAUCUACCUUAUGGUGGGGAAUAACUAGCCGAAAGGUUAGCUAAUACCGCAUACGUCCUACGGGAGAAAGCAGGGGAUCGUAAGACCUUGCGCCAAAAGAUGAGCCGAAGUCGGAUUAGCUAGUUGGUAGGGUAACGGCCUACCAAGGCGACGAUCCGUAGCUGGUCUGAGAG